rnacentral:rRNA from 1 species
AGAGUUUGAUCCUGGCUCAGAUUAACGCUGGCGGCAUGCUUACACAUCAAGUCGAGCGGCAGCGCGGGGGCAACCCUGGCGGCGAGCGGCGAACGGGUGAGUAAUGCAUCGGAACGUGUCCCGUAAUGGGGGAUAACGCCGCGAAAGCGGCGCUAAUACCGCAUACGCUCUACGGAGGAAAGUGGGGGAACCGCAAGGACCUCACGUUAGGGGAGCGGCCGAUGUCCGAUUAGCUAGUUGGUGGGGUAACGGCCUACCAAGGCGACGAUCGGUAGCUGGUCUGAGAGGAUGAUCAGCCACACUGGGACUGAGACACGGCCCAGACUCCUACGGGAGGCAGCAGUGGGGAAUUUUGGACAAUGGGGGCAACCCUGAUCCAGCCAUGCCGCGUGCGGGAAGAAGGCCUUCGGGUUGUAAACCGCUUUUAGUCGGGAAGAAAAGGCCGAGGUUAAUACCUUCGGUUUUUGACGGUACCGGCGGAAUAAGCACCGGCUAACUACGUGCCAGCAGCCGCGGUA